GACAGCUGGAAUAAGAGAGCGGAGAAGCCAAUCGAAAGGAGAUUGCUGCCCCGGCAGUCUAUGUAGCUAGUGCCCAGCUACGGAAUAAACGAUCUUGGAAUUGAAGAAUCUUGCCCUGAUCAAGUGAGCGGCUGGGGAGGAGAUGGGGUCUA